AUUAUAUUUUCAUAUAUUUUUAAGUAAACUGCAAAACACAUUUUUUAAAAAAAAUUCCCCAAAAUUUGUUCUUUACCAUUAACCAGUGACAAGAAAAUUCAAAUGAUCAAAUGUUUUGUUUAUGGGACUGUUUGAUUAACGAGUACGGCGCAAAAUAGAGGAAGCAAAUUUGCAUCCGAAUAACAGCUUCGGGGAAGAAGCUGAAGAAGAAACUAGGGUUUAGAACAGAGGACUCUAAAACCUUUUCUGGUGGAGAAGAAGAAAGAUAUGAUGAAGAACAGAAGAAGAGACACUCUUUGGUGUGAAGCUAGUGUAUCCUUCAAACACGAGACUUUGACUUAGUAGCGGUCUUUGAUCCAAUGCGACAAAGUACACCUGAAACCUUUUCGGGAUUUACUCGUGGCGCGAAGUUAACCGUCAAGAUUGCCCAUUAUGACGUCAUCGUCUUGUAAUGUUUCCCAACUAAAAGGGCACUAUUAGCCAUAAAAAUGGCCCAUUAUGACCAAGUGAUAUAUACUUAGAAAAUAGCCCAUGAUAAAUUUUAGUAUUGUUGGACCGGCCUGAAACUUAACGUGCAUCAGAUUCUAAUACUUUUGGAAACAUUUUCUUGAAAUUUCGAUAUACUAUUUUUUUCGUAUUUAGCUUCAACUUAGUAUUAUUCAUCUUCAGAAACUACACAAGGGUUCAGUUUGUCUUCAUUUUCAAAAGGAAAAAAAAACAUGUGUUCAAGGAACUAUGAAUAAAGUUUCGUCAAGUCAGUAAUGAAAUUAGAAUCAAAAUAUUAGCUUUGAUUGGAUAUUAGCUAUAACAGCCUAUUUGGUAUAGUACUAAAAAUUUGUACCCAAACAAGAUUAAAAAAAAAUGUACAUUACAUUUACAUGAUAAGCUUGAAAUACACGUUCAUAUAAUAUAUAUAUACACACACAUCUAGUUUGAAUAUCACAUAUGUUUGGUAGAAACUUUGUGAAGUGAACUCGUCGGGCUUUUGAAGAAAGGAGUAAAUGCUUUAAGGGUUUAAAUAAGGGAGCCAGCAAAAGUGAGUAAAAAGUUACUAUGAUAUGUGUUGUGCAUAUGUAGGACAAUGCAAUGCAUGCAUGCACUCGAUCGAUUAUCAUUGAGUCAUCAUCAUAACUUCAUCAUCUUGCAGCUUUUUUUCUUUUACUUUUGCUUUUUCUUCCCUUGACUUUACCUUUUAUACUUAUUUUAAUUUGUCAGAAAAGUAUUAGUAUAUGUGAGAGAACACAUAGGGGGUAAAAAAAACUUCUGGGAAAAGCACUUUACCUAUUGAAUAUAUACUUUUUCUCGUCUACUUUUUAUCAGCUUUAGAGAAAAACCAAAUUCCAAUCCACCAAUACUUUUUCACUUUUUUUUUUGGGUAAAAAUGUUAAAAAUACUUUUUCACUUGUUAUUAAAUGGUCGCUCCCUAUUUAAAAAGAAAAUUAGAUAAAAUUAAAAGUGAAAGGAGCAAUCAUAAAGCAAUCGAUUACAAAAUGAUUUCAUCACCUCUCACAUCAGACUAUCUUUUCUGCAAUGGGCAGAAUAGUUCUGUGCCCUUCUGUCUGUUCGCAUUUAUUGCUCCUUUUCUUCCUUUCUCUCUCUUUCUUCUUUCUUCUUUCUUCCUUUCUCAUUCUCUCUCUCUCUCUCUCAACCUUAAACUUACAUCAAUUAAUUAAGCUUUUUGAACCGUUUAUGCUGACUUUUCAUAUUGGAAUUUGAGAUGUUCCUACACUUUUGUGCCCUCUCUCUAACACCUUGCGAAAAAAGCUCAUUUAGAUUUCAAACCUACUUAGAAAAUUCAUAUCAACGUAGAUGUGAUGGGUUCUAUAGAUACUAGAUAGAGUUUUCAUUUUUUGGAUUGAAAUUGCAAGUAGAAAACCAUGAAACACUUGUCUAGCUAAGUUUUGGUCGCGAGGAAUUUGGGGGAUAGCAUAUCAAAAGCUCAUAACUAUUUGUAAAUUCAAAUCUUCAUUGGUGUUGUUGCAGCAGAUAAUAACUAUAUUUUGACAAACAGAAAAGAGAAUAAUAACUAUGAUGAAUAUUGAGAGGUAAAUCUUCUAACCAUUCACAAAGGUUUGAUGAUCUUCGCAGAUUUUAAAGCUGUAUACCCCAUGGAACAGUUAGUCUUUACAACCUAUAUAACUUUGUUUUACAAAAAAAAAAAAACCUAUAUAACAUUAGGUUUCUUGAUGGCUAUCGGUCGAUGUCUAACAAUAACAUAUAUUCAAACCUGAAUUCAAAAUUAAUAAAUCAAAGACAAGAGGUUACAAAUAAAUAUCAAAUUAAGAGACAAGAAUAAGUUAAACCCGGCCGGUAUGGUUUGUAACCUAGUCGGUGUGGUAAGUACAGAAUAUGUAUUAUAGUUACGAGACGUUGGUGGGUGUCACAGUACAUUCUUUGGUGUUGUGUGCUCUUUCACCCUCAUAAUAUUCUAACUUUAUUGAUUAAUCAUAAUAACAAUAUAUAGACAUAGAGAAUUUGACGUUACAUGAUAUAUAUUCAACCAAUAUAAAGAUAUGGACCCCCUUAAUGAACAGUGGACAUCACAUCUCUCUCUCUGUUACUGUUGUUGGUUAAUGAGACAACUACAACACCUUCAUGCCACAUCUCAUUCUUCGCCAAUCUUCGGUACAAUUUGCCAAUUCCUUUAGGCCCCAUCUUUUAUACCCUAUAAAUAUACUCUUGUGGAAGAGAAAACAAUUGGUAUAGAGUAUCGGAUUUUAAGCCAAACACAAAAUAUAUAACAAGGAUUAUCCCCAAAAAGUUUAUCAAUUAGAGUUCUUUUUUUUUAAAGGAGUUGAUCAAUUAAAUUUUUGUUUCAGUUUCUCUCAUAACCAAACUAGCACUAGUGAUCGAGAAGUUUUACAAAUACAUCACUGAGUGAUCAGUAUGUUAUAUAAACGCAGGUACCUUACAAAAUGACGUGGCGCAUUAAUGGUGGAUUGAUUACUAGCUAGUGUUCUUACCUUUUACCCUCCAAAUUAUGAUAGUUUUUAGUAAAACUAUUUUGUAAUUACAAAUAUUCUUAUGUAUUUCCGAAAUAGUACCACAUCGCUUUUUCUUUUAAAUUUUGAGUGUACAUCUUUACUGUUUUUCACCUAGCUA